rnacentral:lncRNA from 10 species
AGCUGUGGGCCUCAGUCUCACCGGGAGAACUCAGCUGGCUUGUGGUUAUUGCAAUAUCAUCACAAACAGCAUGGGCUUUGUAGGGAGGCUCUGCUCAGCAGUUGCUUGCUUUGUGACGUUGGUCCAGUCUCCUAACCUCUCUGAGCCCAGUGUUCUCUGAAUAGUGAUUGCAAUGCUGUAGGAAAAGAGAGAAAUUGGUACCAACCAGUGUCUUCCAUGCUUUGCCUGCAAGGACGGCUCCUCAUGACACGGGUUAGGGGACACAGGCCUGAGCUUCCUCUGACCUCCUGACUUAAGCAGCCCAAGCACAGUGGCUGGAAGGAGGCCCUGGUGAAGGACAGCGGCUGAGGGGUGGAGAACAAGAGCAGGAGGUGGAGACCAGCUCUAGCGGCACCUCCUUCCCGGGAGUUCCCUCCCUGUCUCCUCCUCCGUCAUUCCCUCCAGUUUUCCUAAAGCUCCCCAGGCCCCCCACACUUGCCUACACAUUCGGAUUCCAUCAGGGAUCCCUGAAGUAAAGGGGGAAGGUACCUGGCCCCAGAGGGAGCACCAGUGUCUGAUGGGCACAAGAAAUGAUGGCCCCACGCGUAACUGAGUAACCUGGAAAGGGGAUCUCGACAGACAAGGAGGCACUGAGAGGGACAGACAGGAGGAGCGCAAUGGGAAAAACUUGAAGGAGGACGGCCCCGUUCUCUUGGGGAUCUUAAAGCCAUGUGUAACCAUCUGGGUCUGAUUCAUGAUAGAGAUGGUUCAGCCUUCAUCUAAAAAUCAUGAUAAGGGUAUUAUGGUAAGAAAAUACUGGGACUCCAGCAAGGAAAGAGUGUGGUGUCUGGUAAUGCCUGGUCCAGCGUGGUGGUCACAGGCGUUGCCCCUGCCUCCUGCGUGAAUGGAAGGAAGGUCACAAACGUGGUAGGUGAGCCCUGGAUGCUGGGGCUGGGUGUUCCGCCCUCCGGGAAGCCCACCUGGUUGUUUUCCUGUGAACAGGAGGUGUUUGCUCUGCCAAACCUUGGUGUUUGUGGAUGAUCCUACCCCCACCCCAUCCCACUAAGAAGCCUGAGAGGGUCUCCAGCAUCUGACCCCGACUGAAGGGCCACACCUGGGUCCCAAAGCCCAAGAGACCCACCCCUCAACCUGGGGCUGGAGCCACAUAUCCCAGGCAUCCUGAUUCCACUUGGAAUCCCUUCUGGGGAAGAACGAGGCAUUGUGAACAUUUUUCCUAGGAGAGACUGAGAUGAAUGUUGGGGAAAUGGGAACUGGAAGAACAGAUCUGUAUUUUUCUUGAAAGGAUCUUUCUGCUAAGAAACCCAGUGAAAAGGGGACCAGUGUCUUCACCAGCAAUGAGUGGGCACCUGUGUUCCCCAGAAUAGGAAGUGAUGAGAGCAGUGGCUCAAACUAUCAGGCAGUGGCAGCCUAGACCGGUAACCCCUGCUGCUGGUGCAGUGGGCCGCUGGAUGCAGAAGGGGCCUAGGAACUGGGCAAACUGAGUUGUUUUUUAAAAAUCAUCUUUAUUAAGAAUUCAUUUAUAUGCAAGAAAAUGCACUAAAUUUAAGUGUAUAGUUUGACGAAGUUUUUAAAAUAAAUGUAUAUAUUAUGUAACUACCACAAUUAAGUUUAGAACAUUUCCAUCAUCCCCCCAAAAUUCUAUUAUGCCUUUCUUUCUUUCUUUCUUUCUUUCUUUUUUUUUUUGAGGUGGAGUCUCACUCUGUCGCCCAGGCUGGAGUGCAGUGGCGUGAUCUCGGCUCACAGCAACCUCUGCGUCCCGGGUUCAAGAAAUGACCAGAACCUGAAAUUUAUAUUUAAAGGGGAAGCAGAGUGUAAAAGUUUGAAAAAUUUGCAGCCCACCCAUGUGGUGGAAAAGAAAACCCCAUUUCCAAGGUGGUUUGGAAUUGUUGGUGGGAAUGCAAAAUGAUACAGAUACCUGAAGGAUGGUUUUACAGUUUUUUAAAUGAUAUUGAAAUACAGUUAUCCAGAUAACUGUUUGGCUAUAGUUAUAUAAUCCAGCUAUUGUACUCCUGGGUUUUAAUACAAGAAAUGAAAACAUAUAUCUAGGAUUUGUAUGCAAGCAUUUAUAGCAGCUUUACUUACAGUUGCCAAAACCAGAAAAAAAACCCAAAUAUCAUUCAACACAUGAAUGGAUGAACAGAUUGUGCUACAUUCACAUAAUGGAAUGCCGCUCAUCAUCAAUACAAAGGGACUAGUGAUACACACAGCAACACGGAUGAAUCUUAACAUCAUCAUGUGAAGUGGGAGAUGCAAGACCCAGAGACUUCUAAUAUAUGAUUCUAUUUAUACAGCAUUGUAAAAAGGCAAAACAAUUGUGAUAGAAAACAAGUCACUGGUAUUCACAGGUCAACAGUUGGGAGCAAGUGAGUUGACUACACAGGGGCCCAAAGAAUGUUCUGUGGUGAAGGAAGCAUUCUGUGUCUUCAUUGUCAUGGUGCUCCCAUGACCAUGUACGUCCAUCAAAACUCAACAAAUUGUAGAUUUAAAAUGGACGGGUUUUAUUUCAUACAAGUCAUACCACAAUAAAGCUAAGAAAAAGAAAUGAAAACAAUUCAUCUGAAAGUACUUAAUGAUUUUUGAUGCUAUUGUAAAUUAUAUUUUUAAAAAUUCAUUUCCCAAUGAUUCACUGCCAGUAUAUAGAAAUAUAUUGAUAUUUGUAUAUUGAUCUUGUAUCUCAUGAUCUUGCUAAAUUCCUU